rnacentral:sRNA from 1 species
GAUAUCAUUGAAGAGCUUCACACUGCGUAUUAAGUACAGAACUGCACCUAUUGCUUCAGCUUUAACAUGGCUUCGUAAAGAGCAGACGGCAGGCAAAAGACACCCAUACCUGUACAGCCAAUGUCAGGCCAUUCAUGCUAGGAGUUUGUUCCCUUGCCAAGACACACCCUCAGUCAAGUUUACCUACACAGCUAAGGUU